rnacentral:misc_RNA from 1 species
UACGUAGGGGGCGAGCGUUGUCCGGAUUCAUUGGGCGUAAAGCGCUCGCAGGCGGCCGGCCGCGUCGCGCGUGAAGGCCCCCGGCUCAACCGGGGGUGGUCGCGCGAUACGGGUCGGCUGGAGGUAGGUAGGGGGACGCGGAAUUCCCGGUGUAGUGGUGGAAUGCGUAGAGAUCGGGAGGAACACCGGCGGCGUAGGCGGCGUCCUGGACCUGGCCUGACGCUCAGGAGCGAAAGCGUGGGGAGCGAUCCGG